GAUGAACGCUGGCGGCGUGCCUAAUACAUGCAAGUCGAGCGAACGGAUGAGAAGCUUGCUUCUCUGAUGUUAGCGGCGGACGGGUGAGUAACACGUGGAUAACCUACCUAUAAGACUGGGAUAACUUCGGGAAACCGGAGCUAAUACCGGAUAAUAUUUUGAACCGCAUGGUUCAAAAGUGAAAGACGGUCUUGCUGUCACUUAUAGAUGGAUUCGCGCUGCAUUAGCUAGUUGGUAAGGUAACGGCUUACCAAGGCAACGAUGCAUAGCCGACCUGAGAGGGUGAUCGGCCACACUGGAACUGAGACACGGUCCAGACUCCUACGGGAGGCAGCAGUAGGGAAUCUUCCGCAAUGGGCGAAAGCCUGACGGAGCAACGCCGCGUGAGUGAUGAAGGUCUUCGGAUCGUAAAACUCUGUUAUUAGGGAAGAACAUAUGUGUAAGUAACUGUGCACAUCUUGACGGUACCUAAUCAGAAAGCCACGGCUAACUACGUG
rnacentral:rRNA from 1 species